UACGUAGGGGCAAGCGUUGUCCGGAUUAUUGGGCGUAAAGAGCGUGGUAGGCGGCCAUACAGGUCAGCUGUGAAAACUCGAGGCUCAACCUCGAGACGUCGGUUGAAACCGUAGUAGGCUAGAGGUCCGGAAGAGGAGAGUGGAAUCCCGGGUGGUAGCGGUGAAAUGCGCAGAGUAAUCGGGGAAGACACCCGUGGCGAAGGCGGCACAUCUCGGGAGCGGGUACGUGGACGCUGAGACGCGAAAGCGUGGGAGCGAACAGG
rnacentral:rRNA from 1 species